GCUGAUUUUGAGUCCUACAUCCACAGCUUCCUGUCUGGCUGUGAGGUCUUGGACUGGCCUCUUCACUUCUCCAAGCUUUGGGUGCUUCCGCUAUAAAAUAAGGUAAUAGAACUAGCUUUGCAGGACAGUUGUGAGGCUUAAACAUGAAAGUGCCUGACCAUCACCAUAACUUCCAUAUUAGUUGCAUUUGACUUAGAACCAGCAUGGAAUUCGGAAACCCACUUUUUAUUUUUUCUUAUUUUUUUAUUUUUUAGAUUAAAAUCGCCCUUGCUCUCCAUUUCUACCACUUUGAGGGUCUGGAUUCUGUCUGCACAGGAACACAACAAAGAACCUACCCCUUCCAGACAUCUGUCUACAUGGAGUCUACAGACCUUCUUUGGGAAGAGGAAUCGUAGGAGAACUAUUGACUUUCUUCAAGCAGUAUCAUGGCUGGAUUUGUGUUUUAGGAUAAUCUCCUUGGCUCCUGUGUGGGGUAGAUUCAGAAGGUAAGAAAUAUCGAUGUGUAUUGUUCAAGCACUUGUCAAGUUGAUGUGACUUAUUGACCGCUGGGCUGUCUCCCCCACUGGACCUGGUAUAGCGAGCAUACUUAUUAAUCAUUGUGGCCCAGUGCCUAGCUCAGCUUGGCAGAUAGUAAGCACUUCCAUGCAUUUUUUUGAAUGAACGGAUGUUGUUUUUAGUUAGGCACUGUACUAGCCAUGGAGGCUGAGCAAAUCAGAUGCAUUUCCUGUUGUCAUGCAGUUAGCAGACUAGUGAGCAUGUAGUAGGCACUUUAUA
rnacentral:lncRNA from 1 species